rnacentral:lncRNA from 1 species
CAAGCACACACCACCAUGCCUGAGUAAUUUUUUGUAUUUUUAGUAGAGAUGGAGUUUCCCCACAUUGGCUAGGCUGGUCUUGAACUCUUGACCUCAGGUGAUCCACCUGCCGUGGCUUCCCAAAGUGCUUGGAUUACAGGUGUGAGCCACUACGCCCGGCCAGCACCCAACUAUUAACAAUGAUCUCUCUGACAGCCUUUCCAGGACUUUCCUUUUCUUCUUUGUUUUUAAAAAAAUUAUUUAGUAUUAGCAGGCAUCCAAUUUUGUAAUUUAAAAAAAUGAUACGUUUACAUUUAUGUUUAAAUUUUGUCCCUCCUUCUUGCAAAUAAAUAAAUUCCCUAGAGGAGUGGCGGGGAAUGGUGGAGUGGAGGACCCUGGACAGCCAGCUGCCUGGAAAAAUCAUCUCUAUCCCUGGAACACAUGUGGUUCCCAAAAGCCAAUGACAAACAGCAGCACUCGAUGCUGGAAGACAACGGAGGAGCAUCUGUCUAACUCGAGAAUAAAGUAUCCAGCCAAGAGGUCCAGACUGGAAAGUAACACACCAUCCAUCUCAAACAGCCAGAAACCCAGGGAAUACAGACGGCAUUCAUGAGCUCUUCUCAGAAAAUAUCACCCAGGUGACAAAAUCCAGACCAAUGAAAGAGGAAAUCAAAAUAAAGAUAGAGGCAUGGACAAGCUGUGAUCAAAGGUCUAAUGCAAAUAAGGAAGUACAAGCAUGAAAGCAAAAUCGGAGGAACAUUUCCUGGACAGCAUUCCCAUCUCCAGUAAGAGUCCUUCUCACUUCAUAAAAGCGAUACGUAGAAGCAAGACUCUGCCUUUGCGGUGACGUCACUGAAUAUGCAGCCGGGGCCCAGAGUUGAACAAAUGCCACUCUGGCAAGCGGGGCAGGGUCUGGCUUAGCAACUUGACUUUGACCUACCACCUCUGGAUAAUUUUGCUUCUACAUAACUAUGGAGAUGAUGUACUCAUUCUAUUUAUAAAAAUAAUGCCCUUGGAGUAAACCCCAACCAUCCACUCCUACCUCCACCCUGGCCCAGGCCUGUUCUGCCCCAGUGCACCUAAUCUUCCUUCAUUCUUUAUCCCCCUUGUUCACACUGUGCCUGCAUCCUGCUCCUUGAACAAGCCUGGCCUCAUGCCGUUGCACGCUUGCUGCUUCCUCUAUCUGGAAUGCCUUUCUCAUUGCUCCUUGCCAAGCCACUCCUUUUUUUUUUUAGACACAGUUUCACUCUGUCGCCCAGGCUGGAAUGCAGUGGUGCAGUCUUGGCUCACUGCAACCUCUGCCUCCCGGGUUCAAGAGGUUCUCCUGUCUCAGCCUCCCAAGCAGCUGGGAUUAUAGGCGCACACCACCACGCCCAGCUAAUUUUUGUAUUACAAGUAAAGAUGGGGUUUCAACAUGGCCAGGCUGGUCUUGAACUCCUGAUCUCAGGUGAUCUGCCCACCUUGGCCUCCCAAAGUGCUAGGAUUACAGGCGUGAGCCACAGCGCCUGGCCCCAGGUCACUCCUAAUCCAUCAGGUUUCAACUGAAAUGUCAUGCUGGAAAGAGGCCUUCCUUCUCUCUCUAUCCUGGCUAACACUGCCUUCUCUCCCACACCAUCUUGCUAUCCCAUCUUUCUCUUCUGUUUUCUUCAGAGAACUUACUGAUACCUGAAAUGAUCUCAUCGUUUAUUUCUUCCUUUUUUCUUCAUUGUCUGUCUCCCCUUUGGAGCACAGGUUGCUUAAGAACAGGCACCUCACUGGGUGUGACCCAUGCCUGUAAUCCCAGCUACUCAGGAAGCUGGGGUGAGAGGAUGGCUUGAGCCCAGGAGUUCAAGGCUGCAGUGAGCUAUGAUUGUACCAAUGCACUCCAGCCUGGGUAACAGAGCACAAUUCCGUCUUUAAAAAAUAAUACAAAAAUAAAAAAGUAUAGGCACCUCUUCAGUUUUGUUCAUUUCUGAAUCUCUGGUGCCUGGGACAGAGCCUGAUGGUCAGUGAGAGGUGCUUAACAAAUGCUUGUGGAAGGAAGGACUGGGAUAUACUUUUGCAGUUCAAAGGACUUCAGGAAUGAAAUGGCAAUCUGAGGAUGGGGAGUAAAAUGUCCUGUUGUCAACCCUGUAAGCUGCUAAACC